AUUGAACGCUGGCGGCAUGCCUUACACAUGCAAGUCGAACGGUAACGGGCCUUCGGGUGCCGACGAGUGGCGAACGGGUGAGUAAUACAUCGGAACGUGCCCGAUCGUGGGGGAUAACGAGGCGAAAGCUUUGCUAAUACCGCAUACGAUCUACGGAUGAAAGCAGGGGACCGCAAGGGCUUGCGCGGACGGAGCGGCCGAUGGCAGAUUAGGUAGUUGGUGGGAUAAAAGCUUACCAAGCCGACGAUCUGUAGCUGGUCUGAGAGGAUGAUCAGCCACACUGGAACUGAGACACGGCCCAGACUCCUACGGGAGGCAGCAGUGGGGAAUUUUGGACAAUGGGCGCAAGCCUGAUCCAGCCAUGCCGCGUGCAGGAUGAAGGCCUUCGGGUUGUAAACUGCUUUUGUACGGAACGAAAAGCCUUCUUUUAAUACAGGAGGGUCAUGACGGUACCGUAAGAAUAAGCACCGGCUAACUACGUG
rnacentral:rRNA from 1 species